rfam:Triticum aestivum genome assembly, contig: Triticum_aestivum_CS42_TGACv1_scaffold_528637_6DL
GGCAUACUCCCUCCAUUUUAAAAUUCUUGUCUUAGAUUUGUCUAGAUACGGAUGUACCUAGUCAUGUUUUAGUGUUAGAUACAUCCUUAUCUAGACAAGUGUAAGACACGAAUUUUGGGACGGGGUAAUAU